UACGUAGGGUGCAAGCGUUGUCCGGAAUUAUUGGGCGUAAAGAGCUCGUAGGCGGUUUGUUGCGUCGGCUGUGAAAUCCCGAGGCUCAACCUCGGGUCUGCAGUCGAUACGAGCAAACUAGAGUGUUGCAGGGGAGACUGGAAUUCCUGGUGUAGCGGUGAAAUGCGCAGAGUAUCAGGAGGAACACCGGUGGGCGAAAGGC
rnacentral:rRNA from 1 species